rnacentral:misc_RNA from 1 species
GAUGAAGAACUUAGCGAAAUGCGAUACUUGGUGUGAAUUGCAGAAUCCCGUGAACCAUCGAGUCUUUGAACGCAAGUUGCGCCCGAAGCCUCGGCUAAGGGCACGUCUGCCUGGGCGUCACGCAUCGCGUCUCCCCCAAACCGCCAAGGCGGAGGGGAAGGAAGAUGGCUUCCCGUGCCUCACCCGGCGCGGUUGGCCUAAAUUUGGAGCCCGCGGCACUUAGCUCUCGCGGCGAUAGGUGGUGAACAAGGCCUUGGCCGUGCAAACAACCCGCUGCGAAGCUCUAUGUCACGUGCGCUCGUCGGACCCUUUGAAGUUGCCUUCGGUGACUUAAAACCUUUGCGACCCCAGGUCAGGCGGGGCUACCCGCUGAAUUUAAGCAUAUCAAUAAGCGGAGGA